rnacentral:rRNA from 1 species
UCAGUUCGGAUUGGAGUCUGNAACCCGACUCCAUGAAGCUGGAUUCGCUAGUAAUCGCGCAUCAGCCACGGCGCGGUGAAUACGUUCCCGGGCCCUUGUACACACCGCCCGUCAAGUCAUGGAAGCCGGGAGCGCCUGAAGUGCGUGAGCGCAAGCAGCGCCCUAAGGUAAAACCGGUGACUGGGGCUAAGUCGUAACAAGGUAAC